GACGAACGCUGGCGGCGUGCCUAAUACAUGCAAGUUGAGCGAUGAAGCUUGGUGCUUGCACCCAUUUGAAGAGCAGCGAACGGGUGAGUAACGCGUGGGGAAUCUGCCUUUGAGCGGGGGACAACAUUUGGAAACGAAUGCUAAUACCGCAUAACAACUUUAAACAUAAGUUUUAAGUUUGAAAGAUGCAAUUGCAUCACUCAAAGAUGAUCCCGCGUUGUAUUAGCUAGUUGGUGAGGUAAAGGCUCACCAAGGCGAUGAUACAUAGCCGACCUGAGAGGGUGAUCGGCCACAUUGGGACUGAGACACGGCCCAAACGCCUACGGGAGGCAGCAGUAGGGAAUCUUCGGCAAUGGACGAAAGUCUGACCGAGCAACGCCGCGUGAGUGAAGAAGGGUGUCGGAUCGUAAAACUCUGUUGGUAGAGAAGAACGUUGGUGAGAGUGGAAAGCUCAUCAAGUAACGGUAACUACCCAGAAAGGGACGGCUAACUACGUG
rnacentral:rRNA from 1 species